rnacentral:rRNA from 1 species
ACGAACGCUGGCGGCGUGCUUAGCACAUGCAAGUCGAACGGACAGGCCCUGAUUUUGUGGGGUGCUCGAGUGGCGAACGGGUGAGUAACACGUGAGUAACCUGCCCUUGACUUUGGGAUAACUUCAGGAAACUGGGGCUAAUACCGGAUAGGAGCUCCUGCUGCAUGGUGGGGGUUGGAAAGUUUCGGCGGUUGGGGAUGGACUCGCGGCUUAUCAGCUUGUUGGUGGGGUAGUGGCUUACCAAGGCUUUGCCGGGUAGCCGGCCUGAGAGGGUGACCGGCCACAAGAGGACUGAGAGACGGCCCAGACUCCUACGGGAGACAGCAGUGGGGAAUAUUGUACAAUGAGCGGAAGCCUGAUGCAGCAACGCCGCGUGCGGGAUGACGUCCUUCUGGUUGUAAACCGCUGUCGCCUGUGACGAAGCUUGAGUGACGGUAAUGAAUAAAGAAGCACCGGCUAACUACGUG